rnacentral:lncRNA from 1 species
UCAGAUCUUAAAGCUCUAAGUUGAAACCAUUGUUUCAUACCUGAGCUAUUUGGUCUUGAUUAGCACUCGGGGACCCUCCGUAAGUCUUCUUUCGCUCUUUUAUUCGCUUUUCGAGUCCGAAAGUCAACGUUUUGUUGACUUUCUGCAUUGACCAGCUUAUGGUCGAUGCGAAGUUCAUGGAACUUCAUAACGUGAGCGUGAUCACGAUGGUUAUAGUCCGUAGUGACUAUACCUACUGAUCACCACGUUAACUAGGCCCAGUGACGAGUCGUAGUUUCGGCCAAAAUGCGCAUUCUUGCGUAUUUUGUAACCAAACUACUCGUGGGCAUCAAAGCCGUUUGUUUUGAUGCCAAACCUGUUUCUAAACUUAGUUAAGCAUGUUCUAACAUGCUUAGCUCGUCACUUUUAGUUUAGUGCUUAUAUAGGGUCGUAAGGUAAGCGAUUUAAACCAUCGCUUAUACUUUCGAACCCGACCCAUUUGGUCGGUCAUUAGGACCCGACCAAACACAUUAGGUGACCAUAGCUAUAACCUUCCGAGGUUAUACCGUGUGGUCGCAAUGUUAGGCGUCCCGAACGCGUUCUACGCGAACGACGCGUUAGGGUAGCAUAAGCUACCUAAACGGGUCGUGAUGGACCGUAAGCACUUAGAUUAGGUUUCAUUUUAGUAUGUAGGCUUUGCUAAGCCAUAUUACACGAGUCUCCAUACUCGUUUGGUUUACGAACCCGCGUACUGUCCGAUCCUUCCGAUUUGGUCCGGUAUAUUAACAUAAGCUACCUAUUAGGUGCCGUUGAUAUUCCGUGAUUUUUAGCAUUAUCCGGUUAUUAUAUAAGGAAUCCAAAGCAAUCUCAGGUGAGUACAUUGAACCCCAUCUUUUUAUGUUUUCGAGGAGUCAAUCAUGUGUACCUAUCUGUUAUUUUCAUGAUUUCAAAGUAUAAUUGAUUAUACAUGUUAGUAUUUAUCUUUUGACAAACUAAAUGACUAUCUAUGGUUUAAACACUGAUUUCUCAAAGAUUACAAAAGUAAUUGUUGGAAUAGUACUUAUUUUGUUCACCAGACCGAUUGGUAGUAUGAUAUAGCGCUAUAGGACUAGACACCCCAUUCCUGUUGUCAUGGAAUGUCUGAAACCAAUUUGUUUCUCCAUCCAAAUAGGGAUUUCCUUUGUGGUAUCCUUAUAGUCUCAAAGGUGUAGUUUGAUGCACCAGGUCUGAAUGAAUUCUUAAAUCGCACCUUUAAAGUAUAUUUUGAUAUACUCCCAAAAAGUAUAGUUUGAAAUACUCUCAUGUGUGGUAUUGUACAGAACCAACAUAUAUUUUGUAAUCAUCCAAAGCAUAUUUUGAUAUGUUAUUUACAAACCAAGACAUAGUUUAAUAUGUUAUUUAUCACAUCCAAAGCAUAUUCUGAUAUGUUACUUACAAAACUAAAGCAUAGUUUAAUGUGUUAUUUAUAAAUCCAAGGUAUACCUGUAAUAUACUACUGAAAACUAUUAUUUUGAACAACUAAAGUAUAUUUAAUAUACUAUCUAUCAAACGAUUUGGUUUUGGUUAGUGUUUAGAUAACAGAACGAGUGUAAUGUGAUGAAACAAUGGUAGAUACGCCGCUGGUACUUCUUAUAUAUAAGUGUUUUCAUUGCAUUACAUACCGUGGCGUUAUUUAGUACACUUGGGUUAACAAUAUUGGAACUGAAAUAUAUUUUAAUAUAUUACUUAUUCAACUUUCUUAAAACCAAGGUAUAUUUUAUAUAUACCAUAAACGUUUUAUUAAAACAUUGUUUUUCAAACAAACUUAACUUAUACAAACUCAUUUUACAUGGUUAUUCAGUUAACCAUACAUUAUUCUCUUAUUUUUACAUAUCAUCUGAUCCUAUCGUUUUUCAAAUGAUUUACAAGACAAAGCAAAAAUACGAGGUUCAUGACUAAACAUUUUCUCAAACUCAAGUCAUGAACUCCGUUUUCACAAAACCUAUGUAUCUCACAGGCAUUUUUAUGCUGACGUACCUAUUUUUACACAUGUUUCAGGUGCUGUCUUGAGAUGAUUGUUGAUGCAUGCUACAUUUAGGAUGGACUCGUGCCUUAGCAACUUUAAAACUUGGAAGAUCAUAGUUGUACUUAUGUGAUUGUAAUAGAACAACGAGUUCAUUUAAUCAAUAAAACAAUAUUUAAAUUUCCAUGU